CCAGACUCCUACGGGAGGCAGCAGUAGGGAAUCUUCGGCAAUGGACGGAAGUCUGACCGAGCAACGCCGCGUGAGUGAAGAAGGUUUUCGGAUCGUAAAGCUCUGUUGUAAGAGAAGAACGAGUGUGAGAGUGGAAAGUUCACACUGUGACGGUAUCUUACCAGAAAGGGACGGCUAACUACGUGCCAGCAGCCGCGGUAAUACGUAGGUCCCGAGCGUUGUCCGGAUUUAUUGGGCGUAAAGCGAGCGCAGGCGGUUAGAUAAGUCUGAAGUUAAAGGCUGUGGCUUAACCAUAGUACGCUUUGGAAACUGUUUAACUUGAGUGCAAGAGGGGAGAGUGGAAUUCCAUGUGUAGCGGUGAAAUGCGUAGAUAUAUGGAGGAACACCGGUGGCGAAAGCGGCUCUCUGGCUUGUAACUGACGCUGAGGCUCGAAAGCGUGGGGAGCAAACAGGAUUAGAUACCCUGGUAGUCCACGCCGUAAACGAUGAGUGCUAGGUGUUAGACCCUUUCCGGGGUUUAG
rnacentral:rRNA from 1 species